rnacentral:rRNA from 1 species
CAGUAGCCGCGGGAAUACGUAGGUCCCGAGCGUUGUCCGGAUUUAUUGGGCGCAAAGGGAGCGCAGGCGGUUUAGUAAGUCUGAAGUUAAAGGCAUUGGCUCAACCAAUGUAUGCUUUGGAAACUGUUAGACUUGAGUGCGGAAGGGGAGAGUGGAAUUCCAUGUGUAGCGGUGAAAUGCGUAGAUAUAUGGAGGAACACCGGUGGCGAAAGCGGCUCUCUGGUCUGUCACUGACGCUGAGGCUCGAAAGCGUGGGUAGCGAACAGGAUUAGAUACCCCAGUAGUCCCUGUCUCUUAUACA